GCCCUACUCAGUAUGGUAGUUAUGACACUCGCCUUGUAAUCGAGUGGAUUCGUGUUCGAAUUCCGAGUAAGGCA